GACGAACGCUGGCGGCGUGCUUAACACAUGCAAGUCGAACGGGAAGGCUUUGCUCUUGCGGGGUCUUCGAGUAGAGACCAGGUGAGUAACACGUGAGACUCCGCUUCUUGACUUUAGGCCCUCCUAAGGCACCCGUGUGUCCUACCGCAUAAGAGCUCAUGCAGCACGGUGGCGUUAGGAUAGAUUCGCCGGUUGGGGAUGGACUUGCGGCUUAUCAGCUUGUUGUUGGGGUAGUGGCUUACCAAGGCUUUGACGGGUAGCCGGCCUGAGAGGGUCACCGGCCACAUUAGGACUGAAAUACGGCCCAGACUCCUACGGGAGGCAGCAGUGGGGAAUAUUGCACAAUGGGCGGAGGCCUUAUGCAGGCCCGCCACGUGCCGGGUGACAGCCUUCGGGUUGUAACCCGCUUUCGCCUGUGACGAAACGUGAGUGGCGGUAAUGGGUAAAGAAGCACCGGCUAACUCCGUG
rnacentral:rRNA from 1 species